rnacentral:rRNA from 1 species
GACAGAGGGUGCAAACGUUGCUCGGAAUUACGUGGGACGUAAAGCGCGUGUAGGCGGUCACGCAAGUCAGGUGUGAAAGCCCAGGGCUCAACCCUGGAAGUGCACAUGAUACUACGUGGCUGGAGUACUGAAGAGGAGAGCGGAAUUCCCGGUGUAGAGGUGAAAUUCGUAGAUAUCGGGAGGAACACCAGUGGCGAAGGCGGCUCUCUGGGCAGAUACUGACGCUGAGACGCGAAAGCGUGGGUAGCAAACAGG